UGUGUGUGUGUGUGUGUGUGUGUGUGUGUGUGUCUGGGUGUUGUUACUGCUGCAAGAAGUUCUACAGCCACCCUUGGAAAGAAUGACUUUAUUGGAAGGAAAGGGGCAGUGACUCAUUCUCCUAGAAGAAGGCUGGGCUGUCUUUCAGUCCUUCCUAAUGACCAUCGAGCUUUGCAAAUGAAUCAUUGGAGUGUGGAAGGAACCCUCUGUGUCGGAUGAUCUUUCAGGGCAAGGGAGAUAUAGUUUGCCGUGUGGGGGUAGGUGUUGGACCCCACUUGAAUUCAGAGGCUCUGAUGCAGAAAGGCCUCAGAGGAAGAUGGCUGUGUGGGUACCCAGAUGGACUGACGUUAGGGCUCAGGCCUCAGGAAUCUGAACAGAAGAUGAAAAAAGAAAGAAAAACAUGAACCUUCUUCGUCUUGCUGAUGCCCCGGUUUUGCUGGUGGGUGAGCCUUUGCUUACUUACUCUGUGUAAAGGAUCCAGCCCUUUGUCCGGAAUGUUUCCUGUAUGCGUCCUGCCAGUCAGCAGGCCGGGCUGUCGCUGUCAGACUGUGUGUCUACAGCAGACUCCUGGAGAAACAGCAUGCUUAUGUCACGAGCCACGUCUGUCAUGGCAGGAUCCAUGUUUCUCCUCAGGCUAAUCAUAUCUGAUGCAGGCACCAGGGCUCCCCCCCCCCACUAAAAGCAAGGAUACCAGCUUGGGAAGAGGUGCCUUAAAGAUCAAAACCGGGUCUGCGGCAGUGACAUGCGGGUUUGUGAAUCGGGAAUGGCAGCGUCAAAUCUCUCCUGAAGCGAGGAGACAGCCGUUGGCCGGCAGAAAUGGAGCACGGGGCGUUGCUGGCUCCAAUUAGGGAGACACGAUUUGCAAAGCGGCCAUGUUCACGGGCAGUGUUCCGUGAAGUCCUGUACAGAACGCUAGAAAAAUCAUCGAGGAAGGAACAGGUGACGUGUGAGAUGCAAGCAGGUCUGUAUCUCACACGAGACGAGAGCAGAAAAGAGUUGCCUCUUCCCACCUUUCACUUUGAGGAGAGAUGGUUUUGCUCUGGACGGGCUGGGUGGUUUUUGUUUCUAUUAGGGAGAACAAGGGAGCAGGAGCUAAGAACUGAGAUUCAAACCUGGUAAGAUGAUAAUGGUGAUAAUCAUCAUCAUCAUCAUCAUCAUCAUCAUCAUCAUCACUAUGUUCAUUUAGGGACCUUAAAAUAAUUAUUGUUUAGAGGCUCAAAUAAUAAUAACAAAAUAGUAACAUAUUACUUAACAUUUAUUGGUACUCAUUAUGUGCUAGUCAGUCUCUCUUAAUCCAUUUAAUCCUCGUUAAAAACCAUGCUAGAACUUUUCACUACUUAAUUAUUCCUUGACAUAUUGAACGCUUAUUUAGCCCACACUCUGUGACACACGGUUCUAGCUAUUUCUCACAACACCAAGAGGCAGGUGCAGUCAUCCUCUUGCAGACACUCAGAGAGGGUAAGUGGUUUCCCAAAGCCAUCCGGCUAGUGGCUGGCAGGAGCUUCGAAUUCAUAUCUAGCUCAUAAUUUUUCCUUCAUCCCGGACUACCUCUCAACCCACGCCCCCCACCCCCCAACCCGAUGUUUCAGCGUGUAUCAGUACAGGAGCCCUUGGGGAAGUCCCCAAGCUCACUGUCCCCUCAUUUGUGUCAUUAUCCUUUGUGCUGAGAAGUUAAAUGGGAGAUGACAUCAAAUUCCUCAGAUGACACAUAAGUACAUUCCAGUUGAAUCAUGCCCGGUGUGUUUCUCUUUAUACUGGAACCUCAGUAAUAUAGUAAUCCAGUCAUUCGUUUUCAUCAGGAUUUAAGUAACAUAUAGUCCACAACUAUGUGUGUGGUGAACGUAGUAUAGUGUUGUCAAAUCAAAAUGUUGUACACUUGAAACUAGCGUAACACUGUAUGUCUGUACUUCACUUUUAUAGACAUACAUAUAUACAUACAUCUGUAUACACACAUACACAGAUACACACACACACAGCUAGAUAUAAAAAUAGCACUAAGAGUCAUGGCUUUGGAUCUGUUCGUGUUUCCCUAAAGCACAAGCUUUCCCUGCCUGUGGUGUCAACAAACAUCUUCCUAUCUAAGGGCUGAGGAAUGGAAGGUACAGAUAACCUAACAGGAACCAUACUUAGGGAGUCUUGAACAGCCCCUAUGUUACAGUCAUUUCCUUUAUGUCACUGGGGAAAUUCAAAAUAGAAGUUCAUUGUGAUUUCAGAUAUUCAUCAUGGAUGUGCUUAUAGAAAAACCUAUCUGGUGUAGUAAAAUUAGGAUGAUACCAUCUUUCUGAUCAUUUCAUGCCUGUCACUGAAAUGUAUUUUGUGGAAAGUCUGAUGAAAUCAGCCACAACUUUUUAAAGAAACAAUCCCAUCUACGGUUUGGACUAUGUAUGUUUAGACAUGUGUAACAGUGAAAGUGAAUUAGAAAGUACUUGGUAAACUUUGUUUUCUCCCAAACUAUGUCUAUAAGCAAACUAAAUUCAAUGACCUCUUUUACUAAACUCUUCCAGAAUUCUAUUGGUUUCGUAUUUACAUCCAUUCUUCUUUCAUUAAAUAAAUGAAUGUAUAAUCACGAUUUAUGAUUAUACUCUGUUUUGCCUUCAGAAGGAAAAUGAGGCAUGUAUACAUUCUGAUGGGAAGUGAAAAAAGAAAAAUAAACCUAUGAGGUGAUAUGUAUAA